ACCUCAACGCAGCAUGUUAACUUUCAUUAGGCCAAGAUAUCCCAUUUCCUGCUUCAACGAGAAGAUUCACAACGUUCACGUAACAGUUUAUCAAAAUAAUGACAACAAACGAAUGCGUAAAAGAAAACCUGGCGUACACAAUCCCAAUUUCAGGUCAUAGUUUGCGCCUAUCAACUGUCAGCUAACGUCAACGGCUAGCUGGCUAGCUUAGCCAGCCUGCAGCGGUGAGGCAGAAAGCUAGCUAGCUAACGUUUUCUAGUCGUGGGAAUAAUGGCAAACACCUGGCCUAGUGCACACAAACCAACGAGCAACCAGCGCAUUGUCGCUCUUGGUGAGCCUCGGUACGGGAAGGCAGCACACCAGCUUGGGUGCCAACUGCAAACCAGAUGUGAAAGGUGUAAGUUACGAUGGGCUCAGAUGCUGAGGAUGAUUCUGUAGUCUGCAAGGAAGAGUUUGAUCACGGGCCAUGCUGCUUUACAUUUCCUGGAGGCUACCCCCCACAGCCUGAAAUGCCAGGAAUUACACUGUGACACUGGAACAGAGAUGUUAGCUCUGUGUGCAGUCAUACCUGUCAUAUCCAACCAGUGUGAACGAUGGCAUUUUGGGAUGGGACAAGUGCUUCAUCGUCUCCUUGAGGUCAAGGCUACCCAACCAUGUCUGUCAGAAAACUUCUGCCUUUGCCUCGGUGGAGGCAUGAUCUGUCACAAUGAACCUCUCUUAUUUUUCCUCCUUUUUCAUCCUCCUCAUGAUACUUUUGAACAGGAUCUACUAAGUGUGGAAUUGAGUUUGAUGGUGAAAUACAAUAACAAUAGCAAUAUUUUAAUAUACAAUAUCUUUCAGAAUUCAUCCCAGUGAGAAAAGUCACAUUGACAUAGCAAGCUUUAGUUCAGCCGAAGCAACACAAUAAUUUAACACUCACUUUAAAUAAAGAUGUGAGCAAAUAAAUCCCACACUGAAAAAAGACAAAAUAGCCACAUUCACACUGCUGAAUCAAACACUGCUAUUAUUCUCUGCAGGACAGUCAUUGAUGCUUUUAAAUGAGAGUGAGACGAUACAGAUAGGACUGAUGCAUGUGUGAAUUGGAAUUAGAUGACUAAGGAUGACAACUAGAAUUUUUUUUCCUUCAGCCAGUGCUCAUUACUGCUCUGUAGCUGUGUAAAAGAUAUUUUUUUAGUCUAGAAGAUGCAAUGCAGUGCAAUGAGCAGCUUGGUGACUAACAAAUGGUACUGAUGGCUCUCAUUUUCUCUAUCACAAAACAAGAACUUAAUAUCUGUAGAUACUUAUGCAAAUGUGUAUGAUGUAGUUUAUGAAGUCUGUAUAUAUAGUAUGUAUAUGAUGUGUAUAGUAUGGUAUAUGAUAUGUAGUACAGAGUG